rnacentral:rRNA from 1 species
UACGUAGGGUGCAAGCGUUGUCCGGAAUUAUUGGGCGUAAAGAGCUCGUAGGCGGUUUGUCGCGUCUGCUGUGAAAACCCGAGGCUCAACCUCGGGCCUGCAGUGGGUACAGGCAGACUAGAGUGCGGUAGGGGAGAUUGGAAUUCCUGGUGUAGCGGUGGAAUGCGCAGAUAUCAGGAGGAACACCAAUGGCGAAGGCAGAUCUCUGGGCCGUAACUGACGCUGAGGAGCGAAAGCCAGGGGAGCAAACGGG